CUCUGAAGUAUUAAAAAUGAAGGCACAGUCGCAGUUUGGAAAUUGCCCUUCCAAUUUGAGCUUUGUAGAGUGAAGUUUCAAUGAAUGUCAAUGGACGGCGUUAGUUGCAAACAAAUGAUUAUAUUGUGAAAACUAUCAGGACUAUGGCUUAGCCGUUGACAUGUUUAGUGGCAGCAGGGAUAGCUGAACGUUUUGAUAUAAGAUUUGUGUAGGUGGGCCUGAAAAUAAGGGAGUGGUGGCAGUUUAGAAAUCAUGUCCUGAUUUUUCAGCUUUUGCCAGCUCCCACUCUAGCUUUGCCAUUCAUUCCUAUGGGACAAAUUUCGCCACAAGAACGACGAUAUUCCGUGAACCAUUCGGCGAAACGUUCCAC
rnacentral:lncRNA from 1 species